CAGCCGCCGCGGUAAUACGAAGGGUGCGAGCAUUAAUCGGAAUUACUGGGCGUAAAGCGUGCGUAGGCGGUGAGUUAAGUCUGCUGUGAAAUCCCCGGGCUCAACCUGGGAAUGGCAGUGGAUACUGGCUCGCUAGAGUGUGUCAGAGGAUGGUGGAAUUCCCGGUGUAGCGGUGAAAUGCGUAGAGAUCGGGAGGAACACCGAUGGCGAAGGCAGCCCCCUGGGCCAACACUGACGCUCAUGCACGAAAGCGUGGGGAGCAAACAGGAUUAGAUACCCGGGUAGUCCCUGUCUCUUAUAC
rnacentral:rRNA from 1 species